UUGGCCCUGAAUCAAAGCCAGAAGUUUGCGGAAGCUCUCAGUGUUAAGCAGGAGCCUAAAGAAAUCUUUGUAUGGUCUGUUGGCCUUUUCAGAACUUUGAAAAUGAAAUAGUCAAAUGAUUCGAAAGAAACGUCU
ensembl:snoRNA